UGACCACUCUAUGAAUCAUCCUGUUAGCUUUAAAGAUGGACGCCCCUCCAGAGAGGAGAGGAAGCCGUGCCUGGGAUACAAUCAGUACCCACCCACCCAUAAGGAGGUAUAGAUUGCAAAGUGGAGGGAUGGAGACGGAUUCUUCAGUCCCAGUUACCCAUGUAGCCAAGUGUGUGUGUAAUGGAUACACAUCAGGGCGAUUACCCUGAGUGUGUAUGGGGAUGGAUGAUGGGGCGAAUCCAAAGGUAACUUAUCAGAGUUAAAAAUAUCAUAAUAUCACUUCUGUGUUAACCGUUUCUCAAUACAAUUCCCUUCAUUAUUCUACCCGAUUUUCCUACACUAACUCUUUAAAUUGGAUGACCUAAUCUUUUAUUCUACCUAUUGCUCGCAUUGAUUGACUCCUAUAUACCCAAUACGUCCCUCCGUGUUGUCCUUAUUCGCUACCUGUGCAUACCAACUAUGUGUGACUUAUUACACAUAAGUGUAAUAAGUGGGGGGCAUCCGUGGCAUAAUGGUGAAGGAGUUGGACUGGUAACUGGAGGGUGGCCAGUUCGAAUCCUGAAAAAAUUCCACGGAUGAGGUGCCCUUGAGCAAGGCAUCUGAAACCCCCACCUGCUCCCCGGCGCUGCACCGCGGCAGCCCACUGCUCCGGUAGUGCCGGUGUGCCCCCCUGUGUGUGCCCCCCUGUGUGUGGACCUCUGUGUGUGGACCUCUGUGUGUGUAUGUGUUCACCGGCUACCCGGAUGGGUCAAAAGCAGAGAAAGAAUUUCCCCCUAAAAAAGGGAUGAAUAAAGGACUUAACUUAU